rnacentral:rRNA from 1 species
GACGAACGCUGGCGGCGUGCCUAAUACAUGCAAGUUGAGCGGAGACUGUGGAGCUUGCUCCACAUUCUUAGCGGCGGACGGGUGAGUAACACGUGGGCAACCUGCCCUGUAGAUCGGGAUAACUCCGGGAAACCGGUGCUAAUACCGAAUAGUUUUUUGCCCCUCCUGGGGCGAAACGGAAAGACGGUUUCGGCUGUCACUGCAGGAUGGGCCCGCGGCGCAUUAGCUAGUUGGCGGGGUAAUGGCCCACCAAGGCGACGAUGCGUAGCCGACCUGAGAGGGUGAUCGGCCACACUGGGACUGAGACACGGCCCAGACUCCUACGGGAGGCAGCAGUAGGGAAUCUUCCGCAAUGGACGCAAGUCUGACGGAGCAACGCCGCGUGAGUGACGAAGGUUUUCGGAUCGUAAAACUCUGUUGUGAGGGAAGAACAAGUACCAAGUAACUACUGGUACCUUGACGGUACCUCACCAGAAAGCCACGGCUAACUACGUGCCAGCCGCCGCCGUAA